rnacentral:rRNA from 1 species
ACAGCAGUCGCCGCGGUAACACGUAGGUCCCGAGCGUUGUCCGGAUUUAUUGGGCGUAAAGCGAGCGCAGGCGGUUAGAUAAGUCUGAAGUUAAAGGCUGUGGCUUAACCAUAGUACGCUCUGGAAACUGUUUAACUUGAGUGCAAGAGGGGAGAGUGGAAUUCCAUGUGUAGCGGUGAAAUGCGUAGAUAUAUGGAGGAACACCGGUGGCGAAAGCGGCUCUCUGGCUUGUAACUGACGCUGAGGCUCGAAAGCGUGGGGAGCAAACAGGAUUAGAUACCCCUGUAGUCCCUGUCUCUUAUACA